UUCUGAGUAUCACAAAUACCAAAAAAUGCGAAAAAUAGUUUUCAAAAAAAUAUUUUCAUAAAACAAAUGGAUGUAAAAUACACUUGGCCCCCCUCUCCAUUUCAAUUUCCCCUCUCCCUCCUCCCCAGCCUCUCUUUCUCUUCCUUUAUCAUUUCUCCUCCUCUCUUUCUCAUUCACACAAGGCAAGAACCCCACACACCGGCCGACCCUUGCCCCUCCCCCACUGAUCAAAUUCCGUUGCCCACAUCCACCAACAGACCCUUCACCAUCAACACCACCACCAACAUCAUCCACAUAGUAAUAAUCAUGAUUAUCAUGGGAAAGAUGGACAAAAUUUUCCUGCUUGUUGGUUUUGUUGGUGGAUUUAAGGGAGGCAAUAAUAGCAAGGUUAAGGUCUCUUUCUUCACUGUACUGCUCAACAGCUAUUGCAGUUCUCCUGGUGUUACCUUUGUUUGAGAUGGGUGAGUAGAAAAACACAUCAUCAUCACCAUCGUCUAGGUUCACAAUCUCAAUCAUCUCUGGUUUCUCCACUUUUGGCUUCCUUCUUGAUCCUACUUCCACCUGUUCUUGUUCCUGAGGAUUUGGAGUGUGCUGGGAUUCUAAGCAGACCACAAUACGUUGGAUUUCCAUGGCAAUUUUGGUCCCUUUUUGGGUAUCAGAGCAGGCCCGGUGAUCAGCGCUUAGCAGAGCAGCGAGCAGCGAUUAGAGUGACAUUGUUUUGAAAUUUCA
rnacentral:misc_RNA from 1 species